AUAAAGUUUAAUUUUAGCUUAGUAAUUUGUUAAUAAAUUAAUUUAUAUAUAAAUUUUGAUUAUUUAAAUAAUUUGAUUGUAGUAUAGAAUUUUAAGUGUUAAAGAAAUUUAGAUUUAGUGAUUUUAGUUAGUAUAAACAAAAUUUGUGCCAGCAGUUGCGGUUAUACAAAUUAUGCGAGUAAAUUUUAUUUAAUUAAAUUAUUUAAAUUAUAUUUAUAAUAAUAAGUUAGAUUUAUUAGGUGAAAUUUUAAAUUUAAAGAUAAUUAUAAUAGGUUUAUGAAAUUUGGAAAUUUUUAUAAUAAACUAGGAUUAGAUACCCUAUUAUUGAAAAUGUAAGUUAAAAAUUAAAAUAAUUAGUAGUUAAGAUCUUUAAAGUUAAAAAAUAUGGCGGUAUUUUAAACUUUUCAGAGGAACCUGUUUUUUAAUAGACAAUCCACUAUAUAUGUUACUUUAUUUAUUAAUUUGUAUAUCGUUGUUAGUAAAAUAUUUUUUAAGAAGAUUAAUAUUUAAAAUUUUUAUUUAAAAAUAAGUCAAAUCAAGGUGCAGUUUAUAAUAAAGUUAAAAUGGGUUACAAUAAAUUUAUUUAUGGAAAAAAGUUUUUAAAGUUUUUUAAAAUUGGAUUUGAAAGUAAUAUUAAAUAUUUAUUUAAUAUGAUUAAGCUCUAAAAUAUGUACAUAUCGCCCGUCGCUUUCAUUUUAAAAUGAAAUAAGUCGUAACAAAGUAGAUUUAUUGGAAAAUGAAUCUAGAAG
rnacentral:ncRNA from 1 species